rnacentral:rRNA from 1 species
ACUCCUACGGGAGGCAGCAGUGGGGAAUAUUGGACAAUGGGCGCAAGCCUGAUCCAGCACAUGCCGCGUGAGUGAUGAAGGCCUUAGGGUUGUAAAGCUCUUUC